rnacentral:lncRNA from 10 species
UGAGCAUUAUUACAGAUCAGCAUUGUCAAGAACCAAUGGUGUUCCCUGAAGAAAGAAUACAACAUGGGACACAGGACUCUCAGAAAGGAUUUCUUCAUUUCAGUAAUUGGCACAUCUUUGAAGCAGCUGUCCAGUGGUUCUUGGAGCCUCACUGCUAAACCGUCAGUAAGGAGCAGUGAUAUCCAACCUUUCUGGCACCCAGAGACCACCGGACCUCCUUUUCUACAAUCAAGCCAAACCAGUUCCUGUUGUUGGUGCCAAGAUAGACUACAGCUGGAAAUUCCCCAAAUGACCAACAGAUCACCUGGUGCCAACUGACUGACCACCAGGAAGAGCGACUAUUGACUUUGGGCUUAAAAGUCAUCUAAUCCACACUGUUUCUCACUCCCCUGACUACCCUCCUCUGCCCUGAGGUUUUUUUGCCUUUAUAAUCUCCUAUUCACUGACCCUGCCUGAGAGCAUGAUUUCUUUUUACACCAGGGGCUGCAUCUCCCCAAUCUGCAAAUUGUUUCUUAUGGAAAAUGAAGCUUUCUCUUUUCCUUCCACAGAUCUCAUGGUCUUUUGUUACAAGGAACCUGUCUCAAGACAGUCAUACUCUGUUAAUUCACUAUAACACUAAGAACCUCAAUGGAGUUCAGGUCUAUGAGAAUG